rnacentral:rRNA from 1 species
GACGAACGCUGGCGGCGUGCUUAACACAUGCAAGUCGUACGGUAAGGCCCUUUCGGGGGUACACGAGUGGCGGACGGGUGCGUAACACGUGCGUAACCUGCCCACAACUUUGGGAUAACGCUAGGAAACUGGUGCUAAUACUGGAUAUGUGCUCCUGCUGCAUGGUGGGGGUUGGAAAGCUCCGGCGGUUGUGGAUGGACUCGCGGCCUAUCAGCUUGUUUGUUGGGUAGUGGCCUACCAAGGCGGCGACGGGUAGCCGGCCUGAGAGGGUGACCGGCCACAUUGGGACUGAGAGACGGCCCAGACGCCUACGGGAGGCGGCAGUGGGGAAUAUUGCACAGUGGGCGCAAGCCUGAUGCAGCAACGCCGCGUGCGGGAUGACGGCCUUCGGGUUGUAAACCGCUUUCAGCAGGGACGAAGCUUUUUGUGACGGUACCUGCAGAAGAAGCACCGGCUAACUACGUG